rnacentral:misc_RNA from 1 species
UCUUGAAAGUUUUCAGUAAUCGUCUGCGCGACUCACUAAAGGAUUUUCACUUAGCCCAGCCGCUUAUCCACCUGCAACCCUCACUCGAAUAAAGAGCAUUUUCCUCGUCAGAAGGUUUUUCCCUCAACGACUAAAGGAUAAGGCUAGGGGACUACAACCCGGAUACCCAAGGGGGGGAAGCAGCAUACUACUCCCUUAUCUUACUCAGACAGAAAGAACACGCUAAGCACUAGAAGAAAAGGAAGAGAUAAGCUACUCCUACUAGAAAGGGACCUAGAUCAAUAGAAGGAAGGAAGGACGACAAGCAAGAAGAAAGAACCAGAAGACUACACCCCAACUCAACCAUGCCUCUCUUCCACUUAGAAAAAAGACGAGGGAAAGACGAACAUCAGGACAAGGGAGCCUCACUCCUAGAAAGAAGGAUGAUACCAUUCCCUUGUUGACUCAACCCAUGACAGGGAGAAAAAAAAGAAAGGAAGAAGAACAAGCACAUUAAUCAAGCCCUUGCUUCAGUUCUUGGACGACACCAACUCGUCUUUCUUUUGGAAUCUUUAGCCGUAAAACAUGUAUAGGAUAAACUCCGAGAUUCCGUUAGGGGUUGCUCUGUUUCAAGAGCAUCCUUUCAAUUUCAGGGACGAUUUGGUGACCGGAGUCAGGUACAGGAA